rnacentral:misc_RNA from 1 species
GAUAAGCUUUCACUUGGAGCCACCACCAAAAGUGGCAGUAGAAAGGGGAAGAGUUAUAAGGAGCAUUUCUGCUGAGGGACUUCAGAGCCUCAAAUGUCUAUUACAAGGAUAAUACUCCAAUACUGAGUUCCAAAAAGAUUUUUCUUCCUUCCCUGUACAAUAAACUAGUCAAUAAUGGUAAAUAGCUACACUAGCUUUUACUCUAGAGUCUUGCGUGUGUAUAUAAAAUCCCUCCGGAAAUAGAAACUGAAUUUUUUCCUGUCAGUUAUCGCUGUUGAUUCAUUCAGUUUUCAAGCAAAUGAAAUUGCAGGUAAAUAAGAAUCGAAAGCAUGAACAAAUGCUGUCAUUAUUUAUGACAUUGAACUUUUUUCUAUGCCUUUUGCCCUCAUGAUUUCUAUUUUUAAUGAUCACAAGGAUGAGCUGGCGAAGGAAUUUGCCAGAAUUUUCUUCUUUAAUGUUUAUUCCAAUGGAAA